rnacentral:lncRNA from 10 species
AGGACUUUGAGUACUAUGUUGAAGAGGAGUGGUGAGAGUGGGCAUCCUUGUCUUGUUCCUGUUCUCAGAGGGAAUGCUUUCAGCUUUUCCCCAUUCAGUAUUAUGUUGGCUGUGGGUUUGUCAUAGGUGGAUUUUAUUACAUUAAGACAUCUACCCCUGGAGAAAGAGCCCAAUGAGAAGUAAUCUCUGAAGCCCAGAUUUCCUAAGGAUGAAGCUUCAGGAGAGGCCUUAUCAAUCCUGACAACAAACUUUUCUCGUCAAUUUAGUUUCAUUUAAUGGAAGUUUUAAAUGUGUAAAGUUCAGAAGGCUAUUAAAAUUGGUUCCAGCUAUCUAAGAUACACACACAACCACACACGCGCACACACGGUAGAGAUAAAUAUGUUCGAAAAUCCAGCUCAAUGUUACUAGAAAAUUUGAUCAGAAUCUGGUGAAAUAAAUAGUAAACUUACUAAAAAUGCCAAAUAUCCCAGAAGCUGCUUAACAUUUGAUCAAAAGCUCUGUCCAGUCAAUUCCUGCUUCUUUCAAAAAUACUCUGCUGAAAAGCCAAAGGAGAAAUGGGG